rnacentral:rRNA from 1 species
ACGGGUGAGUAACACGUGGGUGAUCUGCCCUGUACUUUGGGAUAAGCCUGGGAAACUGGGUCUAAUACCGAAUAUGACCACUUCUUGGAUGGGGUGGUGGAAAGCUUUUGCGGUAUGGGAUGAGCUCGCGGCCUAUCAGCUUGUUGGUGGGGUAAUGGCCUACCAAGGCGUCGACGGGUAGCCGGCCUGAGAGGGUGUACGGCCACAUUGGGACUGAGAUACGGCCCAGACUCCUACGGGAGGCAGCAGUGGGGAAUAUUGCACAAUGGGCGCAAGCCUGAUGCAGCGACGCCGCGUGGGGGAUGACGGCCUUCGGGUUGUAAACUCCUUUCGCAACCGACGAAGCUUUUGUGACGGUAGGUUGAGAAGAAGCACCGGCUAACUACGUGCCAGCAGCCGCGGUAAUACGUAGGGUGCGAGCGUUGUCCGGAAUUACUGGGCGUAAAGAGCUCGUAGGUGGUUUGUCGCGUCGUUUGUGGAAUACCGCAGCUUAACUGCGGGGUUGCAGGCGAUACGGGCAUAACUUGAGUGCUGUAGGGGAGACUGGAAUUCCUGGUGUAGCGGUGGAAUGCGCAGAUAUCAGGAGGAACACCGAUGGCGAAGGCA